rnacentral:rRNA from 1 species
CCACCCGAGACUCAGUGAAAUUGAACUCGCUGUGAAGAUGCAGUGUACCCGCGGCAAGACGGAAAGACCCCGUGAACCUUUACUAUAGCUUGACACUGAACAUUGAGCCUUGAUGUGUAGGAUAGGUGGGAGGCUUUGAAGUGUGGACGCCAGUCUGCAUGGAGCCGACCUUGAAAUACCACCCUUUAAUGUUUGAUGUUCUAACGUGGACCCGUGAUCCGGGUUGCGGACAGUGUCUGGUGGGUAGUUUGACUGGGGCGGUCUCCUCCUAAAGAGUAACGGAGGAGCACGAAGGUUGGCUAAUCCUGGUCGGACAUCAGGAGGUUAGUGCAAUGGCAUAAGCCAGCUUGACUGCGAGCGUGACGGCGCGAGCAGGUGCGAAAGCAGGUCAUAGUGAUCCGGUGGUUCUGAAUGGAAGGGCCAUCGCUCAACGGAUAAAAGGUACUCCGGGGAUAACAGGCUGAUACCGCCCAAGAGUUCAUAUCGACGGCGGUGUUUGGCACCUCGAUGUCGGCUCAUCACAUCCUGGGGCUGAAGUAGGUCCCAAGGGUAUGGCUGUUCGCCAUUUAAAGUGGUACGCGAGCUGGGUUUAGAACGUCGUGAGACAGUUCGGUCCCUAUCUGCCGUGGGCGCUGGAGAACUGAGGGGGGCUGCUCCUAGUACGAGAGGACCGGAGUGGACGCAUCACUGGUGUUCGGGUUGUCAUGCCAAUGGCACUGCCCGGUAGCUAAAUGCGGAAGAGAUAAGUGCUGAAAGCAUCUAAGCACGAAACUUGCCCCGAGAUGAGUUCUCCCUGACCCUUUAAGGGUCCUGAAGGAACGUUGAAGACGACGACGUUGAUAGGCCGGGUGUGUAAGCGCAGCGAUGCGUUGAGCUAACCGGUACUAAUGAACCGUGAGGCUUAACCUUACAACGCCGAAGGUGUUU